CCCAAUCCCCUGCGGAGAUGACGGGGAGGAGGAAGGAGAGAGAGGGGAAGGCGAGAAUGGAUGGAUGGAUGGAUGGAUGGGGUUUAGCUCUCGUCUCGUCUCGUCUCGUCUCGUCCGCUCGCCGCUCUCUCUCUCUCUCUCUCUCUUCUUGCUGUUAUCCUUUGGAUUGAUUGGAGGAUUUCUAGGGUUUUGUUGUUUUAUUGUGGUCGCCGCCGCCUCUGAUUCGCUUGGUGCAGGUCGGGAACGGCUCCAUGUUUUGCCUGCCGGCGAGCUGGAUCCCGCCUUGCAUCAACUGAAUCGGAGCCGGAAUGCGAAGAUCGAUGCUCCGGGUGCUCCCGCCGCACCGCAUCCCGAGAUUUCUCUGCUGAAAGGUUAGAUCUUUGCCUUUGUUUCGAUCCGAUUUCCCCAGUGGACUGGUGGGCUGUCUCCCUCCGAACCAUCUGUUCAAGAUGGCAACUUUAUGCCUAGAUAUGUUGUGAUUUUUAUGGAAUUGAUGGAUGCGAAGAUUUCGAUUAUUUUAUUGCAAACGCUUACACUUUGGGGACUGGGUUUGGGCUUAAACCUGUUCGGCUAAAUUUGCUCGAAAUAGCUUGCCGGACGAUGGAUUACAAAUGCCUCCUUGUGUGCUGGAUUUCCUGCCGUAAAGAAUUUUUCCAUAGAUGGUGUCUUUAUCGCGUGAUCUGUGACUCUUGUUGAAUCAGUGGAUUCGAUGAACUGUGUUCUUUAGUUGCAUUAAAACUUCGUCGAAUAAGUGGAUAUGGAUUCCGUCGUUUUAAACUAAUUGAUUAAACUAGCUUGUAUCGUGAUCACUUCAUGGACUGUUGAACGCUAGCUUGUAUGCUUGAAUCCUCAGCUUAAAGUUCUGAUCUUUGCUUUCUCAUGUUAUGGGAUGGAAUUCCUUUGUUUCGCUGUGUUUCCGCAUUCAGAUCGAUCGAAUGACUUGGAUCCUCCAAGUUCUUGGUUUGUUAUGCCAGUUUUAUCUUGUUGAUCUGUGACUUAUGGGACCUUUAUUGCUUUGAAUGUGGUUUUUAUUGAUUUGAUGGAUUGAUUGAACUAGUUUGGCUUUCUUUGUUGCUGCUGGUUUUGGUUCCUUCCUUGCAAAAUUGUUGGCCUCUGCAAUACUCGAAUAGCAAACGUCCAACUAGCCUUUUCGCCUUUUUACUGAAGAAUGGCAGAAGCGAUUUGAGCAGCUGACUAUGUUAUUCAUAGCCAGCAGCUGGCUUUACACUGACAAAUCAAAAAAGGCAUUAGACUAUCAUCUUCUUGGAGCAUUGACGGCAGAUUGCUUCUCCAUUCUUUCUUUUAUCGUAUCUGCUGCCGGAUGGAUUUAGCAUGUGGAAUUUUUUGGUGGGAGAAGUAAAUAGCAGAGAUUUUUUGAUGGUUCAUUGUGAGAUUCUUUUUGCAGGACAUGGAUUACUGCUAUUUAGGUAACUUCUUCAGCAGGUAUCGUUGAUCUACUUAUUCCAUCUCCUUUCCAUCUUUUUUAAUAUUUUCUGCUAAUUGGGAUGGUCUCAAGUACCACAGGUGGCUGCUCUAGCUAUCUAUGUUAAUCUACUCAGCUCAAAUAAUAUCUGCCUUCUGUUAAUUCUUUUAAAUGUCCUUCUAUGUUUAAUUAGUUUGAAAUACUAAAAACAUCUUUUUAUGAUCAUUUAUUGUCAAGAUCUAUCAGAGUAAAAAUUUGUGGUGCAAGAAGUCUAAUAGGGAAGAGAUGGGUCUUACUAACGUUGCUUAGCAUCUAGAUGGCAAGGAGUCAAUAGUUGGCCUGCUAAUUCUCAACACAUGUUUGAUCUUAUUUGCAUUGUAUGACAAAUGUGUAACUGGAUAUUUAAAAAAAAAAAACAAAAAUUGUCCUUGUGUACGAAGCUUCCACAAUUAUGGAGUUUAGGGAGGAUCAGAUGUAUGCAGCUUUAUCUUGGCAUGCGGAGAGGCGACAAUGGAAGCAACUUUACGCCCGGCGCUCUGACCGAAGAAAAUAGACCUUGAAAAUACCUCAUCCAUUGAGAGCUCUGGCAAUGAUUGCAGAAGUAAUGAAAAGAUUAUGCUAAAUGCCUUGGAUAGUUGGAGAGAAAGGAUUAGUAGAGUGGAGGGCGGAACUACUACAGCACAAGGUAAGGCAGCUUUCUCUGCUGUCUUCUCUUGUUGUGAUGUCUAAACAAAUUUGGAUGCAUAUGGGCUUGGUGCAUCAUAUAAUCUGCUUGUUCCUGUCCUCCACUCUUAUCAGCUUUCUUGAUGAGGAUGAAAUAUAUUAAAUUGGUGUAAGUUGAGACCUUUUCUCGAAAUAAAGAGUGUCGAACUUAACAAUCUUUUCUCCUGGAUGCUUAGGUAGUAAAUGAUAUUAAUCGAAAUAUUAGUG